rnacentral:rRNA from 1 species
CUCAGGAUGAACGCUGGCGGCGUGCUUAACACAUGCAAGUCGAACGAAGAAGGUUAGAAUGAGAGCUUCGGCAGGAUUUCUUUCCAUCUUAGUGGCGGACGGGUGAGUAACGUGUGGGCAACCUGCCCUGUACUGUGGAAUAAUCAUUGGAAACGAUGACUAAUACCGCAUGUGGUCCUCGGAAGGCAUCUUCUGAGGAAGAAAGGAUUUAUUCGGUACAGGAUGGGCCCGCAUCUGAUUAGCUAGUUGGUGAGAUAACAGCCCACCAAGGCGACGAUCAGUAGCCGACCUGAGAGGGUGAUCGGCCACAUUGGGACUGAGACACGGCCCAAACUCCUACGGGAGGCAGCAGUGGGGAAUAUUGCACAAUGGGCGAAAGCCUGAUGCAGCAACGCCGCGUGAAGGAUGAAGGGUUUCGGCUCGUAAACUUCUAUCAAUAGGGAAGAAACAAAUGACGGUACCUAAAUAAGAAGCCCCGGCUAACUACGUGCCAGCAGCCGCGGUAAUACGUAGGGGGCAAGCGUUAUCCGGAAUUACUGGGUGUAAAGGGAGCGUAGGCGGCAUGGUAAGCCAGAUGUGAAAGCCUUGGGCUUAACCCGAGGAUUGCAUUUGGAACUAUCAAGCUAGAGUACAGGAGAGGAAAGCGGAAUUCCUAGUGUAGCGGUGAAAUGCGUAGAUAUUAGGAAGAACACCAGUGGCGAAGGCGGCUUUCUGGACUGAAACUGUCGCUGAGGCUCGAAAGCGUGGGGAGCAAACAGGAUUAGAUACCCUGGUAGUCCACGCCGUAAACGAUGAGUGCUAGGUGUCGGGGGAGGAAUCCUCGGUGCCGCAGCUAACGCAAUAAGCACUCCACCUGGGGAGUACGACCGCAAGGUUGAAACUCAAAGGAAUUGACGGGGGCCCGCACAAGCGGUGGAGCAUGUGGUUUAAUUCGAAGCAACGCGAAGAACCUUACCAAGGCUUGACAUCCCGAUGACCGUCCUAGAGAUAGGACUUCUCUUCGGAGCAUCGGUGACAGGUGGUGCAUGGUUGUCGUCAGCUCGUGUCGUGAGAUGUUGGGUUAAGUCCCGCAACGAGCGCAACCCUUAUCUUCAGUAGCCAUCAUUCAGUUGGGCACUCUGGAGAGACUGCCGUGGAUAACACGGAGGAAGGUGGGGAUGACGUCAAAUCAUCAUGCCCCUUAUGUCUUGGGCUACACACGUGCUACAAUGGCUGGUAACAAAGUGACGCAAGACGGCGACGUUAAGCAAAUCACAAAAACCCAGUCCCAGUUCGGAUUGUAGUCUGCAACUCGACUACAUGAAGCUGGAAUCGCUAGUAAUCGCGAAUCAGCAUGUCGCGGUGAAUACGUUCCCGGGCCUUGUACACACCGCCCGUCACACCAUGGGAGUUGGAAGCACCCGAAGUCGGUGACCUAACCGUAAGGAAGGAGCCGCCGAAGGUGAAGCCAG